AUGAACGCUGACAGAAUGCUUAACACAUGCAAGUCAACUUGAAUUUGGGUUUUUAACUUAGGUUUGGGUGGCGGACGGGUGAGUAACGCGUAAAGAACUUGCCUCACAGCUAGGGACAACAUUUGGAAACGAAUGCUAAUACCUAAUAUUAUGAUAAUAGGGCAUCCUAUAAUUAUGAAAGCUAUAAGCGCUGUGAGAGAGCUUUGCGUCCCAUUAGCUAGUUGGAGAGGUAACGGCUCACCAAGGCGAUGAUGGGUAGCCGGCCUGAGAGGGUGAUCGGCCACAAGGGGACUGAGACACGGCCCUCACUCCUACGGGAGGCAGCAGUGGGGAAUAUUGGACAAUGGACCAAGAGUCUGAUCCAGCAAUUCUGUGUGCACGAUGAAGUUUUUCGGAAUGUAAAGUGCUUUCAGUUGGGAAGAAAGAAAUGACGGUACCAACAGAAGAAGUGACGGCUAAAUACGUG
rnacentral:rRNA from 1 species